UACGUAGGGUGCUAGCGUUGUUCGGAAUCAUUGGGCGUAAAGCGCGUGUAGGCUGUUAGUUAAGUCGGGUGUGAAAUCUCUGGGCUCAACCGAGGAAGUGCAUUCGAAACUAACUAGCUGGAAGGUGGUAGAGGAAGGUGGAAUUCCUAGUGUAGAGGUGAAAUUCGUAGAUAUUAGGAGGAAUACCGGUGGCGAAGGCGGCCUUCUGGACCAUUCUUGACGCUGAGACGCGAAAGCGUGGGGAGCAAACAG
rnacentral:rRNA from 1 species